CAACUUCACUUUUUUUCUCUCAUGUUAUCUCUCUUUCUUUAUUUCUCCCAUAUUUUCUACCCCCUCUCUCUCAUUCUGUUCUAUUUCUCUCUGUCUUCAUCUUCUCAUCUCCAUUUAACUGCAGCUUAGAUUGACCCAUUUCUCCCCUGUUACUGUCGCAACUGAGUACAGAAUCCCACCUAGAUGUAAAUGUCAUAUGUGUGCCAUUUACAUAUCUCUGAGUUCACCUGUCAGAAUGCACCCUAAUGUUAGCAUCUGUGUGAGUGGUCACUUCAAAGAAUAGUUUGGAAAUACAUUAAAUGAGCAUGAAAUGUGAAAUAAUCACAGAUGCAGUUGGUAAAUCCAGUGUUUGUAAGCAACGUUAGCCUAGAAUUUGCCAUUUUUUUUAAAUACACAAUUACACAUCAGGUAAGAAAUAUGUCUUAGGUGAUUGACUGCAUCAAUCAUGUUCAUUUCAUUUUCUUGCCAAAAUAUUCCUUUAAUGUGCAAAUUAUAAAAGUAGUGGGCUUUCUGUUUUCGAGGACAAUGCAAAGUUAAACUAGAAGCACAGAUUCACCAGCAUGUACAGAUCACAUGUUUUAACAUAUAUUUAGGAGGAAUUGUGAUUACACACAAUUAAUAAACAAGUAAUAAAUUGAUAACAUAAUGAUCAAACCUAAACAGUCCUUAACUGUGCAAUAAUUAACAAUGCAUAGGUUGUAAAACAUACAUUAUUAUUAUGCAAGCUCCUGGCAAAAGGUCACUUUUAUUACAUUAGUUUUUAUUUUGUAGUAAAGGGAUGAGGGAUGUAUUGUCACGGUUUGGCCAUUUGGGACUUUCAACAUUUAUUGAACAGGUUUUCUAACCCCAAUCACAUCACUAACAUUUUCAGUACAAUGUUGUCCACUUAUAUUAACAUAAAUAACCACUGUUUACUAUCCUCUGCUUACCUUUUCAGCUUUCUUUAGCUGAGAUAAUAAUUGAGUUGGGUAUCAACCAAUUGAUAUCUUUUGCACAUCACUGUCCAAAAAAGUGAACACCAACUAAACGUCCCAAAUGUUAACUUUUUCAGUAGAAAAAAAAUCAAACUUUAAAAUAUUUUAUGUGUACUAGAACAUUCUUGCAAAGGGAAAACAUAGUUUUAUUAAAAAUACUCAAGAAAAAACUUUAAUACAAGGUGUAUAAUACAAUUAUUAUUUUUUUAAGUGUCUGACUUGUUGAUGGUUCAUACUUUCUGUUCAAACAGCCUGAAAGUGUGAUUAAUGGGUAAUGGAGAGGGAAAGCCAGGAUGCCUCACCAGCAUUACAAACCGGUGCUAAGAUUUAAGGGCUGCUGUGCCGCACCAGGUAAAGCUUUCAUUAGAGCAACUGUGGGAACUAAAAGGAAACAGGAGCUGAAUGCUGAUAAAGGUCCACUAAGUCAAAGACCCAGUAAAUGCAUGAAUAUUGCCUAAUAAUGUGAACAAUGCAUGAUCCUUUUGGGUUGUACCAUUUGUUUAUAGGAAGAAAUGAACAGUAAUACAUAAUAAAAAUAUACACAAUAUCUCAAAUUAACUAAGCUGUAUCAGAAUCUAUAUCAUUUAAAAUGAAUUUAAUUAGGGACUGCUUUAGUAGUAAAUCAACCACUGCCUUGUAAUUGUUUUAAACUUUUUGUGAGCUAAUUUUGGGGUAAUGUUUGGUGCAUUUGUAUCAUCUAAAAUUAUCUGAUGAUGAGCUGUCUCCUAUUAUGGAAUAGGUCAAAUGCACAAAAUGCAUUUUAAAUGCCCUUUUCUAGCUAUUUUUUCUAGAUAGGUCGAUUUUAUUAGUGGAGACCUCUUUUUAUGUUACCGUAACUGUGCACAGUGGUCUGGGAACCAUUUUAAGCAGUGGUCAAUAAAUAAAUGUAAAUGUGUAUUACUUAGUGGACCUUUUAACUGGUUUACUGCUGAAGAUGCUGAUUUCCACCCCAUGCCAUAAAGUCAGUUUGUUUAAGUAGUAAAGGACAUUGGUGUAAUCAACAUUCUCUACACUCUUCUGUGUGUAUUUACUCUAUGUGUGCUUUGUUUGUGUGUUCAUGUGAAUACGUCCCUCAUUUCCAUUUCUGUGGUAUUUGAAGUUAGGGAUGGGCAUGAGUAAUGAACAGAGCACUCGUUACGUAACUUUUAUGUAUUAAAUCUUCUUUAAUAUUAAAGAGACAAGAAAAAAGUUAAAAAUAUUUGCAGAUCUUGGCUGGAUUUUUCUCAGUCAGCUUUAUGAGGUGGAGUCCUCUUGAAUUCCAGGCUUUAAGUUAGCAGCUGUGCUGAACUCAUCAAGAGUUAAUUACUUGAAUUUCUUGUCUCUUAAUGUUAGUUUGAGAGCAUCAGUUGUAAAGUAGUGAAGAGGUAGAGUUACAGGUAUACAGUGAAAAGCUCUAUUUAAGUAAUGUUCUAAUCCAUAUUAUGGAUCCUAUUUUGAUUUGGUUUUUUAAAAAACACUUUAUAAACCUUCCUUUGUUGGUGCUACAACAGAAACAGACCUAAAUAAUGUUUAAAAGCUAAAAUCUCAUAGUUAUUAAAUCUUGCUCUGAAUGGCUUGUUGCCGUCACAUUUAGAGUACCGUAUCAUCGAACUGGUAAACUUAUUAUUUAUUUAUUUAUUUAAUCUGAGUGCUCAGCUACAAAAUUACUCUAAAUGCCCAUCACUAGUCCAAUUCACAAAGCCUCUCCCUUAUUCUGCACCUCAUCUAUUUCUUUUCAGCUUCUUUUCUCUCUCUUUCUUUCUUCCUUGCUCUUUCCUUUUCUCUUGUUCUCGUCCUCCCUCUUCUUAAUACCCAAUUUUAUAAAUGUUAAGAUACUGAAAGAAAUAAGGUUGCUGAAGAUGAUGAUGAUGAUUGAUGCGUGAAGAGGAUGAUGGCCAUUGAGACUGAGUUGCUCCAGCCCUAGCGCUUGUACCUCGUUGAACCUUACUUCCAUUCUAAAGUCUAGCUCCACUCCUCUGAAAACCAAACCUACUAAAGCCCACUGACCUGCUGUCAGAGUUUACAUCUACUGCAGCAGAAUGGAUCCCAUCUUAAAGCCCCAUCCCUCCAAUCAUAUCCUCAUUACGCUCCUCAGUACUGAACGGUCCAUUCCCUCCAAACUUCAGCAACCCAAAAUGAGUAAAUAAGGAGCUGAAAAAUCCACGUACAGUAAGGAAGUACAGGACUGUUCUGUAAGUACUGGGACACUACAUGUACUCUACUCUGUACACUACUCUGAUUUAACUAUAUAUGAUUAUUAGCUGCAAAGAGAGAGAUUUAGCUUUUAGAGAUUUGGAGAGUGUCCGCCACUAAAUAUGGGUUCUAAUUAUAAACGUGCGACUAAGAAUAGCUUCUACUGCUCUGCUACUGAAUGUCAGUUCUGUGGUUCUGAAUAUUGAUUUUAAAUAUCAGCAGUAAAGUAUUAUGAAUAUUGUGUCUAACCAUGAAAACAUAAGGUUUAAAUGGUUUAAAAAAUGAAACAAACUAGAUGUUUUAUGUUUUAGUUUAGAUUCAUCUUGCCUGGAUUUUCUUAAUCAGUUUUAUGAAGUAGAGUCACCUGGAAUGAUAUUCAGUAAACAGCUGUUCCUUGUCAAGUGUUAAUUACUUGAAUUUAAAGAGUUAAAUACUAUGAAUUUCCUACCUCUUAAUGUGUUUGAUUGCAUCAGUUGAAUAAACACUGAAUAACCCUAUUUGAGUACUACUCAACUAAGUAAAAGAAAAUGACUUCAAGAGAUUAAGGUCAGUCAACCCAGACCAUUUCAAGUUUCAAGAACUUUGAGAUACCUUAAAUUGCAGUCGCAAGGCCUAUUGACGGGUUAUGAUGAAACUGGCCCUCAUCAGGACCGCCCCAGGAAAGGAAGAGCAAGGGUUACCUCUGUUGCUUCAGAGUAUUUUGGCUUGUUUAACACUAAAUCAAGUUUACUACAUGAUUCCUUAUGUGUUUCUUCUUAGUAUGGAUGCCUUCAUUAUUCAUUUACAAUGUAGUAAAAAACAAAAACUUUAAAUGGCAAGGCAUUUCCAAACUUUUGACUCAUAAUGUAAGCUACAAAAUUUUCGAUCACAGGAACAGGCGUUCUAAAUCCCAAUUCUUAAUGCCGUUUGGUUGAGGGAGUGGCUUUCUUAUUAGCCAUUUCCUAUUUAACUGAUUUUUCUACAGGACUAAUAGCUUGGUUAUGUACUGUUCCAGUACUUACAUAAGAACAUGCACAUGCUUACCAAUUAGAAAUUCAAAAAAUAUUUUAAAUAUAAGUAUUGUUCUGUGCUUCACCUGAUGACUGAUAACCCUGGAGCUUUACUAUAAACUAACUUGUAAAACAACCUCACCAUUUUAAACCAUAUUCCUGCUGUGCCAUUAAUGCCCUUUUGAGCUUUUGACCUUUUGUUGCUCCUGAAAGUGCUGAAAAUGCUUUCUGCUGUGUUGACUCCACAUUUGAUUCCAGCAGGUUGACUCAGGAAUGGGUAGAAAAAGCAGGAGAAUGGAUAGAGAGAGAAAAGGGAGAGUGCACACAACACUAGAGUGUGUGCUGUCCUCUCUGUGCGAUCAUACACUGUGCUUUCUCACUCGCUCUCUCCUUCAUGAUGCCUGGUCCAUGUCCAAGUUGAAAAACAGACUGACUCAAGUGUCAGGAACAAAACAAGUUGGCCAUCCUCACAUACUAAGAGAGGGAGAGAGUGAACUUUAACGAACGGCCAAAACUGGCCUUAGAGAGCGGCCGCUCAGCCGCCUGCUCUCGUUCUCUCUCCUUCCGUCUUGGUUUGUGGCUCAUCAGAAAAGAGGGAUGGAAAUAGUGUGGAAGCUCUUCGCACGGAGCGACUCCGCAUUUAGAGGAGCGUAAAGGUGCUGCGUUACUGGAAAAAGCCGCUGCUCUACCGGGAAAAAGAAAAGUUGUUUUUAUUUAAUUUUCUUUAUUUGUUCAUUUUUUCAAAAAUAAGUACAAAACCUGGAGAAUACACAAAUAAGCUCUCUGCCGUGGGUUCAUGUAAUUUUGCUAAGAGUUGUAAAAGGUGGAGACGUAGUUAAUCAUAAGACAAAAUUCUUUGUUGUUUGUUCAUGUUUUCUGUACUGAAUCAUCUCAUAAGUCAUGAGAUGAAAGCUCUGUUAUAUCAAUGUUCUCUUGUAGAAAAAAAAAAAAAAAAAAAACAGCAAAAACAAAAAACAAGAAAAAAAAAGUCCUGUCUGCAUGACUCUCUGAGGUCCUUUCUAAUGGAACCAAUUAAACACAGUGGAAAAUUUUGUGUAAAUGUGAAAUUUCUUUUGGAGGAUAUAAAAAAAGUUUUAAAUAUUUUGUGUUUUCAGUUUGUUGUGUGCAAGAUUUUUUAAGAAAUAUUUUUCAAAAUUAAAAUAAAUUUUAAAUGAGCCUAGAGCCUGGCAGGUCAUGAAGUUCAACGAAAGUAGAAUAAUAAUAACUGGAACCAGGCAAAGUUACUGAGUGCCUUGACUGAGAUAAAUUUGAACUGGUAAUGAAUACAACAUUAUUAAGAAUAAGUUAACAACUUAAUUCAAAAACUGCAACAUUUUUAUUUUGUAGAACCAUGGCAGAUCAUAAAAUCUUUGAAGUAAAGGACAAUUAAGGAUUAUCUUUUCUGUAGUAACUUAUAACAUGAACAGGAUGUAAUCUGUGUGGAUUUUAACAUCCGAAAUUGACCACCACCGUCCCCCCAAUCCCAUUUCCACUCUCAGGGUUGUCAAGUGUAGAAAAAAACACAAACAGUAUGCUGCAGCCAUGGAAAUGGGCAAGCUGGCUAUUUUUCCACUGAACAGGUAAUCACUAAGCUAAGUUUUAUUUUUUUUUAAAUAAGCAAUGCCAGAGAAUAACAAUAUUGUUUUUUUUUAUUAAACAAUGUUUGGUAAAAACUUUUAAAUUGGUAAAUAAGCAUCCAGUAAGGAAGAAAGAGGUAUAAUAACCAUUUCUUGUUAAAUUAUUAUUUUUAAAUGGAUGCUAUGAACUUAUCAUAGCUUAAAAGUAAAACAAGUAUUGUACCUUUAUUUUUAAGUACAAUAUAAAUACGGUAAAACACAGAUAAUAUUUGACACAGAUAAUACUUCUUACAGAGGCAUUUGAAAAUAAAUUCCUUGUCUAGAUUUGUUUUCAGACUAAUCAGUUCAGUCGUUCUGUUAGCCACUAACCGGUGAUUCAUAACCUCUUGUGGAGAACCGUAAUCAUUAAUCACUGAACACUUGGAGCAUUUUGCUUGGUGAAGUAAGCAGAAUUUAAAUGAAUGUAUAUAUAUAUUUUUUUCCAUGGAAUUCGAUGACAUGACCUGCCAGGCCCCAGGUUAGCUGGUGCAUAUAUUUUGUAAUAUUAACAAGAAAACUGUUUGAGGUGUGAAGGUGUUUCUUUGAAAUGGUUUUCAUUCUCAGUUAAGUGAUUUUUGUCCUGCAGAAGUUUUAGCUGUGUUUGAUGUCAAAGAAGAAAGUUUUGUACUCAUUAGUUGUAUAAGAACCUGUAGUUACUACUUCUUGUGAUAGUAUGGCCUUGUAGUGAUGACACACUUGAUAUAUAAAUAGUUGCACCCAGAAAGAAAUGUCUGAUUACAAUGCUGUUAAAAAAAGAAGGUAAAGGUUACCAGGAGCUAAACAUUUUUAAAAUGUUAUACUAAUUUGGGAAAUAUUUUGUAAGCUACUCAUACAGAAGUAGUGUCUCUUCAAUGUGGGGUUGGAUUCCAGUAAGGAUUGUGUGUUGACCAUCUGGACAUGGUCAUGUGAUGCGUGGCAAGAAACCAUAGAUUUUGGUGCUGACCACAGUGAACGUCUUUACUAAGACAAAAGUGUGACUAAUGAGAGGCACUCCAUGACAGUCUGAUGCACCAUCAUUGCAGUGUUAAGAGGGGGUGUUCAUAUAAUGGCCUGCAUGCAUUUUGGUUUACGUUGUGUAGCUGUCUGCCAAUGGUGCUGGCACUCAGUACUAGAUUCUUAAUGUCGCUGCUGUGUACCUCUUUCUACCUUCCACUGCCGCCAACAGCAUGCUAUGGUAAUAUCUGCAUGACUGGUAUGGUGCAGAAUAUAUUGAGACCAUUAUAUUUCAAGGAAAUUUUAUUAACUGUUUUAAAAUCUUCUUUAAGGCAUUCUUGAUAAGGAUGCUACCAAUCCAACAGCACAAUCAAAAUGGAAAGCAUGUGGACCAGGUCAGACCAAGUUUCUUUCAUUCAUUUUGGUUGAUUUGUUCUGGGUGCAACUGUUUUUAUGAUUAGUGUAUUAGAAUUACUUGUUCAUUUAGAUAGAUGAACAGCUGGUUCUUUUGUGUUUUUUUUUUAUUUGUUCUAUUUUUAUUUUUUUUAUUUUAUUGAAUUGAAACGUGAAUUGACAUACAUACCCUUACUUAAAUAUACAACCUAUUUAAAGCUCUGUAUCUUGAAAAAAAAAAAUCACUCAAAAGUCUCAGUCCAAUCCUUAUUAAGUGCAUUUGUAUCCCCCUCACAAUAAAGUUGCUGUUUGAGCCUAACACUGCGAGUUGGGUUGGGAGUAGAGUUGUGGUGUAGGAACGCUGGAUUUUUGUUGCAGCAAUGUUCUGAAGAUCGA